rnacentral:lncRNA from 1 species
AAAUCUUCGUCUCGACGAGGUAGAAUGGGCUUAAAUAAUAACAAAGAGACGAAUUUUGGUCCCUAAGAGACCUCAUGAUGCAAAUGUGUGUAUGCAAAAAAAGGUAACACUCUGUGGGGAUAUGUGUCCACAGAGGAGUAAAGAAAAUCAGGAGACACUGACAAUCCAUAUGAGUGAUACAUUCCAUGGGACAAAAUCC